rnacentral:rRNA from 1 species
GACAGAGGCCUCGAGCGUUAGGCGGAAUCACUGGGCUUAAAGCGUGUGUAGGCGGGCCCGUAAGUGUCUUGUGAAAUCCCACGGCUCAACCGUGGGACUGCUGGGCAUACUGCGGGUCUUGGGCCAACUAGGGGCAGCCGGAACAAGCGGUGGAGCGGUGAAAUGCGUAGAUAUCGCUUGGAACGCCGAAGGUGAAAACAGGCUGCUGGGGUUGCGCCGACGCUGAGACACGAAAGCCAGGGGAGCAAACGGG